CGGGGUGAGUAACACGUGAGCAACCUGCCUUUAAGAGUGGGAUAACGGUCGGAAACGACCGCUAAUACCGCAUAAUAUACAUGAAUCGCAUGGUUUGUGUAUCAAAGAUUUAUCGCUUAAGGAUGGGCUCGCGUCUGAUUAGCUGGUUGGUGAGGUAACGGCUCACCAAGGCGACGAUCAGUAGCCGUACUGAGAGGUAGAACGGCCACAUUGGGACUGAGACACGGCCCAGACUCCUACGGAAGGCAGCAG
rnacentral:rRNA from 1 species